rnacentral:rRNA from 1 species
GAUGAACGCUGGCGGCGUGCCUAAUACAUGCAAGUCGAGCGAAGCGGGGGCGGGUGAGUAACACGUGGAUAACCUCCUAUAAGACUGGGAUAACUUCGGGAAACCGGAGCUAAACCGGAUAAUUAUAGAUGGAGCUGCGCUGCAUUAGCUAGUUGGUAAGGUAACGGCGUACCAAGGCAACGAUGCGUAGCCGACCUGAGAGGGUGAUCAGCCACACUGGAACUGAGACACGGUCCAGACUCCUACGGGAGGCAGCAGUAGGGAAUCUUCGGCAAUGGGCGAAAGCCUGAUGGAGCCACGCCGCGUGUGUGAUGAAGGUCUUCGGGUCGUAAAACUCUGUUGUUAGGGAAGCGGUACCUACUGAGAAAGCACCGGCUAACUACGUGCCAGCAGCCGCGGUAAUAC